GCCAGGCAUAAUGACUUAUGCCUGUAAUCCCAGCACUUUGGGAGGCUGAGGUGGGUGGAUCACUUGAGGUCAGGAGUUUGAGACCAGCCUGACCAAGAUGGUGAAACCCCAUCUCUA
rfam:Pan troglodytes isolate Yerkes chimp pedigree #C0471 (Clint) chromosome 1, whole genome shotgun sequence.